UGGCCUCAGCUGCAUCAGAGCGCCACUUCUCCCCAGGUUCACCAGAGGAAACACCACUGCACACAAUGCUUUUCCUCCCAGCUGCUGCUCUGUGCUGUCUGUGUUCAGCGCUGGUUGCCAUGGCAGCAGACCUGAUUCAGGACGAUUUAACAUUGACCAGGAGAGUCGAUGAAACUGUUUCCUUCAGCUGUCGAGGAACUGACCAGUGUAACACUUAUGUAUUCUGGUACCAGAAGAAACACACAGAAACAUUCAGAGUGAUUCUACGUAUUCAUAAGAGCACUGGUCAGAUUUCUUCAGGUUUCAAUCACCCUCAGAAAGAUGAUUUCUCAGCUGUGAAUAAUCAGAACGGCUGUGAGUUGCAGCUCAAAAACGUUACCACCUCUCAUUCAGCCACCUACUACUGCUCCUGUUGGAAGAGCGGCGCCCACAGUGAGAAAUGAUCCGUGCAGCCUGAACAAAAAGCAGCAGAUGUCAAACAGUGUUUGUGACAGGAAGAGAGCAGUAAACCACAGCCCAGGUUCACAUAUUUCACCUCCAUCUCAGCCAGAGUCACAAACAUACUGAGCUGAGGGAUUUCUUUAAUAUUCUAUUGAUUUCUAUUUGAUCAGAUAUUCCAGCAGGUUUCUUGUUGUUCCACACAGUGAGGACAAACUAGCAGCACAGAAGCACAAUGAGCAAACAAGAUAAAGAGGAAACUAAAUAAAAAUAUAAUCCUGAUUCACUUUAUGAAGUAAUCCUUAAAGUAAAUGAUAUAUAAUAGAUAAAGUUUCCAGCCAGAUGUUCCAGAUGCAGAUUAAAGUCGUCCUCUUUGUUCUGCUGCUGGAAUAAAGUCCAUUCCUCCCUCACAAUACUAAUCUGCUCUGAAUGAAAACCCUUCCAGCAGCACUUGUUGUUUAACAGCUUUCAGUAGAUUUCAGCAGAUCAUUUCACUUUCUUCCAUUUUAAAAGCCAAAUCUUGGACACAUGUCAGGUCAG